rnacentral:tRNA from 1 species
UCCCUGGUGGUCGAGUGGCGAAGACUCUGCCCUCCUGAUGCAGAGGGGGCCUGGGUUCGAUUCUCGGUCAGGAAA